AGUGAACGCUGGCGGUAGGCCUAACACAUGCCAGUCGAACGGCAGCACAGUAAGAGCUUGCUCUUACGGGUGGCGAGUGGCGGACGGUUGAGUUAUACAUCGGAAUCUACUUUUUCGUGAGGGAUAACGUAGGGAAACUUACGCUAAUACCGCAUACGACCUACGGGUGAAAGCAGGGGAUCUUCGGACCUUGCGCGAUUGAAUGAGCCGAUGUCGGAUUAGCUAGUUGGCGGGGUAAAGGCCCACCAAGGCGACGAUCCGUAGCUGGUCUGAGAGGAUGAUCAGCCACACUGGAACUGAGACACGGUCCAGACUCCUACGGGAGGCAGCAGUGGGGAAUAUUGGACAAUGGGCGCAAGCCUGAUCCAGCCAUACCGCGUGGGUGAAGAAGGCCUUCGGGUUGUAAAGCCCUUUUGUUGGGAAAGAAAAGCAGCAGGUUAAUACCCCGCUGUUCUGACGGUACCCAAAGAAUAAGCACCGGCUAACUUCGUG
rnacentral:rRNA from 1 species